rnacentral:lncRNA from 1 species
CCAUUUUCAAUUAAUCUUGGAAUGGUCGCUGGAGGCAAGAAGCCAGCGGCGCCUAAAGGAAUGAGAAAGUGCAAACUGAUCCAGAGGAAACAAAGGGCAGCGAGGGACCCCACAGCUGAGGCAGACGACACUGUGAGCGGCUCUGUCGGGAGGCUGGCGAGGCGUGCGCGCGCGGGUCUCUGCCUUAGCACCAUCUGCCGAUUCCUCAAGAGGACACAGAACAGACCAGCGAGCCAUGAAGAUUCGAUUAUGUAACGCGGGAGGAUUGCUUGUUUUCAAAAGGGAGACAAAUGGGAACGAAUUGAUUUGUUUGUCAAAGUCAUGGCCCCAAAGGAGACCAGUCCCCUCCUCUUCCUGGAGGAUUCAUCAAGGAAGGGGAGUGAUUUCACAGGCUCAGAAAAAAGGAGCCCAGGACUCACAGAGUCAGCUCAGAUGGUAACAGCAGCUCCUGGGCCGCAACGCGGUGAGCCACGUGGUAGAAGAAAAGAACCAACUUCAGCUAACAGUCCUCUGACCUCCAUAAGGGCACAUACCCACCCGCCGCGAAAUAAAUCCAUGCAAAACCAUAAUUCACUCCAUUCAUAAAAACGAGUCUAUUUCCAAAAUUGUGCUGGCAAACCUUUCUGGCUUCUCUGCUUGAGAAAUGACCAUUCCGCCGGUACCCAAAGGGCACAGCCAUAGAAUGGAACAUAAUUGGCACCCCCAACCCCAGCUUCAGAACCUGCCUGCUCUGUCUGACCUCUCUCGCUUGCUUUUAGGGAAGUAACAUCUGAUCUCAGAACCAGUGGGGGUCAUCUUACUAUUUCUAUUCUGAACUCUAGAAAGUGCUUUAGAGGCUAGGGGAUCUCUCUCUCUCUCUCUCUCUCUCUCUCUGUGUGUGUGUGUGUGUGUGUGUGUGUGUGUGUGUGUGUUAGUGUGUGUUAGUUGGUCCU